UCUAGCCAUGGGCAGGUUGAAGGUUGGGUAACACUAACUGGAGGACCGAACCGACUAAUGUUGAAAAAUUAGCGGAUGACUUGUGGCUGGGGGUGAAAGGCCAAUCAAACCGGGAGAUAGCUGGUUCUCCCCGAAAGCUAUUUAGGUAGCGCCUCGUGAAUUCAUCUCCGGGGGUAGAGCACUGUUUCGGCAAGGGGGUCAUCCCGACUUACCAACCCGAUGCAAACUGCGAAUACCGGAGAAUGUUAUCACGGGAGACACACGGCGGGUGCUAACGUCCGUCGUGAAGAGGGAAACAACCCAGACCGCCAGCUAAGGUCCCAAAGUCAUGGUUAAGUGGGAAACGAUGUGGGAAGGCCCAGACAGCCAGGAUGUUGGCUUAGAAGCAGCCAUCAUUUAAAGAAAGCGUAAUAGCUCACUGGUCGAGUCGGCCUGCGCGGAAGAUGUAACGGGGCUAAACCAUGCACCGAAGCUGCGGCAGCGACACUAUGUGUUGUUGGGUAGGGGAGCGUUCUGUAAGCCUGUGAAGGUGGCCUGUGAGGGUUGCUGGAGGUAUCAGAAGUGCGAAUGCUGACAUAAGUAACGAUAAAGCGGGUGAAAAGCCCGCUCGCCGGAAGACCAAGGGUUCCUGUCCAACGUUAAUCGGGGCAGGGUGAGUCGACCCCUAAGGCGAGGCCGAAAGGCGUAGUCGAUGGGAAACAGGUUAAUAUUCCUGUACUUGGUGUUACUGCGAAGGGGGGACGGAGAAGGCUAUGUUGGCCGGGCGACGGUUGUCCCGGUUUAAGCGUGUAGGCUGGUUUUCCAGGCAAAUCCGGAAAACCAAGGCUGAGGCGUGAUGACGAGGCACUACGGUGCUGAAGCGACAAAUGCCCUGCUUCCAGGAAAAGCCUCUAAGCAUCAGGUAACAUCAAAUCGUACCCCAAACCGACACAGGUGGUCAGGUAGAGAAUACCAAGGCGCUUGAGAGAACUCGGGUGAAGGAACUAGGCAAAAUGGUGCCGUAACUUCGGGAGAAGGCACGCUGAUAUGUAGGUGAAGCGACUUGCUCGUGGAGCUGAAAUCAGUCGAAGAUACCAGCUGGCUGCAACUGUUUAUUAAAAACACAGCACUGUGCAAACACGAAAGUGGACGUAUACGGUGUGACGCCUGCCCGGUGCCGGAAGGUUAAUUGAUGGGGUUAGCGGCAACGCGAAGCUCUUGAUCGAAGCCCCGGUAAACGGCGGCCGUAACUAUAACGGUCCUAAGGUAGCGAAAUUCCUUGUCGGGUAAGUUCCGACCUGCACGAAUGGCGUAAUGAUGGCCAGGCUGUCUCCACCCGAGACUCAGUGAAAUUGAACUCGCUGUGAAGAUGCAGUGUACCCGCGGCAAGACGGAAAGACCCCGUGAACCUUUACUAUAGCUUGACACUGAACAUUGAGCCUUGAUGUGUAGGAUAGGUGGGAGGCUUUGAAGUGUGGACGCCAGUCUGCAUGGAGCCGACCUUGAAAUACCACCCUUUAAUGU
rnacentral:rRNA from 1 species